UAUUGGUAUAGAUCUUACUGGACCUCUUCCAAAAACUUCAAGCGGCUUCCGGUAUAUACUUACUGCAACUGACUACUUUUCUAAAUGGGUUGAAGCUUUCCCAUUAAACGAAAUCUGCAUCUGAGGUAGCCCAGCACUUGUGCUCCAUUAUAUAUAGACAUGGCUGCCCCAAAAGGAUUUUGUCAGACCAAGGCAGAGAGUUUGUGAAUGAACUCAACUCUGAUCUUUGCAAGUUAUUGCAAAUUGAAAGAAGUGUAACAGCAGCAUACCAUCCACAGACCAAUGGUCUAGAUGAAAAGACCAACGACAACAUAAAAAGAGCCCUCUGAAAACUGGUGAAUGACCAGCAGAAUAACUGGGAUGUGUAUCUAGAUCCCACCCUGUUUUCACUGCGGUCAAAAGUACACACCACAACAAAAUACACACCUUUUUUUGUGAUGUAUGGAAGAGAGGCAGUAUUUCCAUCAGAAGUGCCUGCUCAAGUGCCGAUUUCCAACAUCAUUCUGCCAGACGACAAAAGGUACAGUGACUAUGUACAGUCUGAAAGUGAAGCACAACAUGCAGUUAAAGAAACUGCACAAGAAAACAUAGCAAAGUCACAAGACAAGCAAAAGGUUGCAUCGCCAAGCGGGCCCUGAAAAAGUACAAAAAUGUUGUGUACAAUGUAGGGGAUCAAAUUCUGCUUCUAAAUAUGAGGAAACGUGGGCGAAAAGGAGGAAGACUUGAACCGGAUUUUUCAGGUCCCUACACAAUUGAUGACAUCAGUGGAAAAUGUGUUAGACGGAAAAACGCUGAGGGAAAUACUUUAAAAAGUCUAUACAGUAUUGACCACAUUAAACCCUAUAGAAGAAGCCACCCUGUCCAAGUCUCAACUCCAACUCAACCUGUUGAGAGUAGCCCAACUUCUGAGAUGUGGCCUUGCAGUCCUCAGCAUCAUCAUGAAGUGCUGCAAAAUAACAGACCCUCUGUCAUACAGUUUCCACCAAAAAUAGCUCAGGUAAAAUCAGUCCAAGCACCAGAAGAGCUUGUACCAGUGACCCCCCCAGAAACCCAGCAUGCAAGAAAAAGGUGGCAUAGCUAAAAAUGUCAUUUUGACCGGUUGGUCAGUUGUUGCCAGUUUGGCUAGUUGAAUGGAUAGAAUGUUUUAUUUUCUUCUCCCCUCUUGCUAAUUUUGACCUGUUGGUCAAAUUUUGGCUAAUUUCUGAUUUAUAGAAAGCGGCUCCCCUCUGGCAUGUUUAUUUUGUUGGCUCGUUGGCCCUUGUCUGCUUGUGGCCCGUUGGCCAUUGACCGUGAUUUUCAAAUGGAAACUGUUAUUACUAAAGAAACUUAUCAUAUUUUGUUUUUUAGUGAAGUGGCUUUGGGCUGCAAAAGACACCGGGCGUGUGGAGGCAGUCGUUGGGCCAUACAAAUUGUAUGACUCUUCUUUUCGCACACUGGAGGACAGUGGGUGGCUUUCUGAUGAGGUCAUUGAUGCAUACCUGCACUGCCUCAUUAGGAAACAAAAGGCA